UGCCGCGUGCAGGAAGACGGCUUAUGAGUUGUAAACUGCUUUUGUACGAGGGUAAAGCAUCUACGCGUAGGUGCAUGAAAGUAUCGUACGAAUAAGGAUCGGCUAACUCCGUGCCAGCAGCCGCGGUAAUACGGAGGAUCCAAGCGUUAUCCGGAUUUAUUGGGUUUAAAGGGUGCGUAGGCGGUUUUAUAAGUUAGAGGUUAAAUAUCGGAGCUUAACUCCGUUAUGCCUCUAAUACUGUAGGACUAGAGAAUAGUUGCGGUAGGCGGAAUGUAUGGUGUAGCGGUGAAAUGCUUAGAGAUCAUACAGAACACCGAUUGCGAAG
rnacentral:rRNA from 1 species